CCUACGGGUGGCAGCAGUGGGGAAUAUUGGUCAAUGGGGGAAACCCUGAACCAGCGACGCCGCGUGGAGGAUGAAGGUUUUCGGAUUGUAAACCCCUUUUUGUAGAGAAGAUAAUGACGGUACCUGACCAAUAAGCACCGGCUAACUCCGUGCCGGCAGCCGCGGUAAUACGCAGGGAGCCAGCGUUAUCCGGAAUCACCGGGCGUAAAGGGAGCGUAGGCGGGAUUGCAAGUCAGAUGUGAAAUGCUGGGGCUUAACCAUAGAACUGCAUUUGAAACUGUUAGUCUCGAGUAUAGGAGAGGUAGGCGGAAUGCGUGGUGUAGCGGUGAAAUGCGUAGAGAUCAAGAGGAACACUCAUUGCGAAGGCGGCCUGCUAGACCGUAACUGACGCUGAUGCGCGAAAGCGUGGGGAGCAAACAGGAUUAGAUACCCGAGUAGUC
rnacentral:rRNA from 1 species